GGUAAAGCUGGCGACGCGACGAAAGUUACGGAGGCUACCGGGCCCAAGACAAAACCGGAACCAAGAACAAGAGCUCCACUACCGCCAACGACACAGGAAGCACAGGAACCAUUGACUAGAGCUGUUGAACCAAUGACUAGAGCUGUUGAACCAAUGACUAGAGCUCU